rnacentral:rRNA from 1 species
UGGGGAAUAUUGCACAAUGGAGAGAACUCUGAUGCAGCGACGCCGCGUGAGUGAUGAAGGAAUUCGUUUCGUAAAACUCUGUUCUAUGGGAAGAAAAGGACUGUACCAUAGGAGAAAGCUCCGGCUAAAUACGUGCCAGCAGCCGCGGUAAUACGUAUGGAGCGAGCGUUGUCCGGAAUUAUUGGGCGUAAAGGGUGCGCAGGCGGCUUUACAAGUUGGAUGUGAAAUAUUGUGGCUCAACCACAAACGUGCAUCCAAAACUGCAAAGCUUGAGUUAAGGAGAGGUAAGUGGAAUUCCUGGUGUAGCGGUGGAAUGCGUAGAUAUCAGGAGGAAUACCGGUGGCGAAGGCGACUUACUGGACUUAAACUGACGCUCAGGCACGAAAGCGUGGGGAGCAAACAGG